GCAGAAUUUACACCAAUACCCUUUUAGUCUAUUACACUAUCAAUAAUCUAGUGGCUGUAUUUACAACAGAGCACACUUAGUUAAGAUAGGGUGAAAUCUAGCAAACUAUAAUAUACAACAGAUGCUGCUUAGUUUCGCCGAUCUCCCCGACCUAGCAAUCAAAAUUUACACCUAGCAUGCUAGUCAAGGCAGGACAUCGGUGUCCGACAUGAGCUAUUUACACCAGAACUCAGUCUGACAAUACCACCUAUAUUAGACGGGCUGGCUACAGAGCGUCUAAUGUCCAGAUAAGUGUUGCACCUUCACUUCUUCCUUCCAGAGGGAAGGGGCCAAUUCCAAUAACCAGUUCCAAAUAUAAAACCCCUUGUGGGUCUACCGCUCUAACGGUAUCAGUCUUACCGGUUAGUUCCUGGACCUGGGUUCACACUCAUCCACGGAACACCCCGGUACUCACUGCGCAGAAGCCGAUGAUCUCCUGGACAAAAGGCCAGUGGUGCCGAGACGAAAGGAGGUCCAUGCAGAAGUCCAGGGGUGCUGACGUGGAGAACGUUGGUAAAGAUCUACCAUCUCACGUCUCUGUCUCAGCUACCGUGACGAUGAGCUUCCUGCUGCCAAUGCACCAGAGAUGUAACCGUGUAAGCGUGCAGAAGCCGAACACAGAGAGAUGGACACAGGUAUUCAGGAAGUAAGAGGCCUUUAUUCACAUUACCGAUCGGGUCUCAGAUGAACUCCUGUUCCAAAAUUCCUUAGAGUACAUUCCUUAUAUAGCACUGUAGCUCCUCCCAUAAUUAGCUAUGCCCACACAUACCCUUAACCUAAUCAAUGAACAGAGUCUAAACUCAUGCAUCCGGUCUAACCAUGUGGCUCAUCUGAAACAAAGGAGAGGGACACGUAAUUCCAGUUCCUGCAUUCCUGCACACGCUCAGUACAUUGAUGACAGUAUCUUAGCUACGUGUAACUAACUAACUGAUAUUACACAUGCACCUACAUAUGCCUUGUGGCAAUCUUGGCCUGCUAAACUUUUAUUUUACUGGAAUUCCAUCACAGACUAACUCCAACAGAAAAUAGCCCUUUAGUGAUUUAUGUGGAUGCAACUUACAUGAAGACAUGGUUAAGAGGUUAAGCUGCAACCAUUAGAAAGGGGAGAAGCAAAACCAAAGCAAUCAUGGUAUGAUUCUUUGUGCCAGAAGGAUAAAUCAACAUCUCAGAAUCAAAUGAAGUGUAAUUUUCAAGGACUUCAAUAGCCGUGAAGUGUGAAUAGUAUAUAUCAGGGGUGGGGAACCUUUGGCCCUCCAGAUGUUUAUGGACUACAUCUCCUUUAAUGCUCUUACAGCCAUAAUUCUAGCAAAGCAUCAAGGGAGAUGUAGUCCACAACAUCUGGAAGGUUGAAGGUUCCCAACCCCUGGUAUAGAUAGUCUUAUAAGAAGAGCUUGUUAAUGAGAAAUGUAAGUGUUGGCUUGAAAAAGUCUUGUUAUUUUCCAAAGACCACAACAACGGCAGGUGAUACCUUAAUCUCUUAAGGACUGUUGUGUCUGUGACUUAAAU